GCAGUAGUAAACUAAGGGGGCUUUGUUUUGUUUUAAGUUGGUAGGAUUCAUGGUCCUAUAAAUGCAGUUUGGUAGACUGUCUAUUGUG
rnacentral:tRNA from 1 species